GAUGAACGCUAGCGGCGUGCCUAACACAUGCAAGUCGAACGGACGGAUCUGCAAGUCUUCGGAUGAGCAGGGAAGUUAGUGGCGAACGGGUGAGUAACACGUAGGUGACCUGCCCCGAAGUGGGGGAUAAUCCUUCGAAAGGAGGACUAAUCCCGCAUAGUCUCCGUGGGGCUAGAGGACACGGAGUAAAGCCUUGGCGCUUCGGGAGGGGCCUGCGGCCGAUUAGCUAGUUGGUGGGGUAAUGGCUCACCAAGGCGACGAUCGGUAGCUGGUCUGAGAGGACGAUCAGCCACACUGGGACUGAGACACGGCCCAGACUCCUACGGGUGGCAG
rnacentral:rRNA from 1 species